GGAUGCGAUCAUACCAGCAUUAAUGCACCGGAUCCCAUCAGAACUCCGAAGUUAAGCGUGCUUGGGCGAGAGUAGUACUAGGAUGGGUGACCCCCCUGUCAAGCGUGCUUGGGCGAGAGUAGUACUAGGAUGGGUGACCCCCUGGGAAGUCCUCGUGUUGCAUCCC
rnacentral:rRNA from 1 species